rnacentral:ncRNA from 1 species
CUUAUCAAGAGAGACGGAGGGAAUGGCCCGAUGAUGUCUCAGCAACCUACCUAUAAUGGUGUGGUGCUAAUUCCAACAGGAUUUAAUCCUGAAAGAUGAGG